CUUGUUCAUCUGGCUCUCCCCACCCUCCUACUUUCAGACUUAUCCUUCUAGGUCAGCAAAUCUGGAGAGCCUCUCCUCUUGAUCUAGGGUCAUUAUUACAAUGAAGGGAAGAAAGGAAGACAUGAAGGGGAAAUGGGACUAUUUACCAAGUGUAUCUGCAUAGACUAAAGGAGACAAGAGGAAGUACUGAGCACCUUGAUUCCUGCAGAUAAUUAUUUAAGAACCAUAAGAAUUCUUUCCUAGCUUCUCAUAAGCCUGCUCCUUCAAAGGGUUAACUGCAGUGAAUCAAACUAUUGGAUUAUAAUUCCAUGAAGUAAGUUUAUUGAAGACAAACAGGCCUUGGGCCGCUGCCUCUGUCUCUCCUGCCUUCCCCACUGAAUCUCCAGCCCACAUUCACAAACAAAGACAAACCUGUGUAAACUGAAGCACCACAAAACUACUUUUAUGAAAGCAGAAUGGAAGAUUUCACCUGCAUUUCCUACAUUCAACUGAAUCCUUUAAAUUGACUGAGGCACAUCCUGUACCAAGGAGAGACCUUUGUUACUGCCUUUGAUCCUGAGACCUUCUGAGCCAGCCUCCUUGGUAUAACCACGCAUUUACGGAAGAUGACGUUACCAGCAGCCCUGGGGCGCAGUCAACAGCAGUGGAAGAGCUGGCUCAUGUGUGGCUCAGGCUGACUCCACAAUCAGAGUGAUUAUGUGGAAAUCAAUCAGAAUUUUCUUCUUAGAAGAUGUUUGUUCUGACAUAAUGACUGACUUUCCAGCUAAUUUUUAUUCAUAGGCUUCUCCUUGCACAAUGAUCUCUAUUUCUCUCAAUGUUAUUCUGUGUCUUUCUUGCUUGCCUGCACAUUCUGAAAAAAAAAGGAAAGCAAUUCCCUACAUUUUAUUUUGAUACUUAAUGUUGUUUGCUAACAUAUUCAGAACACAAUGCAACUUUAUAUAUUAGAGCACUUAUAAUAUAUAUUAGGAAAACAUCAAUUAGGUACCACCAGUUAUUUUAGACAGGUAUCUCUUAGGUAAAAUGUGGUGAAAAUAGAGGGGCAAUGAUAGAAUUCAUAUGUGAAAGAGUCAAUUGGCCAUCAUUAUGCCAAAAUUAUUUUGUGGUUCAGGGGACAUUUUAAACUUUAAUUUUUAAGAAUUAAACUUUAAUUAAAUUUAUUGUAGUUUAAAUGCAAUCACAAGGAAAGACUCUGAACUGGAAACACCAAGCCAAGCUCUUUCCUAGUUCUGGUCCCCUAUAAACCCUGAAAGUUAAUGCAAUUAUUGUAAUUUUUAAACCACCGAGUUCUCAGGGUGAUUAGUUAUGCAGCAAUAGAUAGCCUGAAAAGGACCAUUCUUUCUGGCACUGAAAAUUAAGAAGAGUGAUUAACAACAUAAGAAUGUAGUUUGUGCUGUCUGCCACAGAUUUAUGUUGUAGCUUCAGUGAUUGCUUCAAAGCACCCUUACUAAUUGCCAGCCUAUUGCUGAUACCUAGCUAAAUUAGCAUGUGUUAGUUUUGAUACCACUAUAGGCAUUUAAAGGAUAGCUGAUACAUUCUAUAUAAAAUAUAAUUAUUUUCCUAUCUUUAGUUUAUCCUAAAGUAGCAGCUAUUAUAUUCGCUUCUUGAUUAGCUUUAUACAUAACCAGAGAAAGUAAAAUAUCACAGAGUAUAUUUGAAGACAUAAAAGUCUUUGGACAAAGCUCAAGUAAUGAAUCAGGAUGCUAUUACAUCCUCCACAUGACAGUAAAUAUAUUUUAUAUUCCUAAAUUUUAAGCUUUUAACAAAAGCAAAUUUUAUACUGGACUAUUUCAAUUUCUAGGGAAAGGAAAUUAUCAUUUACUGUCUUUGAGGCUAUAAUCUAUUUAGCCAUUAUUUUUAUAUUGAUCAAUUUAUAAUAAAGGUAAGAGAAAAUACUACCACAUAUAUGUUGUUUAUAUAAUUUUAACUUUCAUAAUUAAAAUACUGGGUAUACUGCAAGAUGUCAAUAUUUAUAAUAGCUUAUAUUUGGAAACAAUUAUACUUUAUAUACUCCUAA
rnacentral:lncRNA from 1 species